UACGUAUGGUGCAAGCGUUAUCCGGAUUUACUGGGCGUAAAGGGAGCGCAGGCGGCACGCCAAGUCUGAUGUGAAACCCCGGGGCUCAACCCCGGGCUUGCAUUGGAAACUGGCGGGCUGGAGUGCCGGAGAGGUAAGCGGAAUUCCUAGUGUAGCGGUGAAAUGCGUAGAUAUUAGGAGGAACACCAGUGGCGAAGGCGGCUUACUGGACGGCAACUGACGCUGAGGCUCGAAAGCGUGGGGAGCAA
rnacentral:rRNA from 1 species